rnacentral:misc_RNA from 1 species
GGGUUUUUUUUUUUAGCUAUAAAUGAUGUAAUCUGGAUAACCCCGUCUUGACAUCUUGAACAAAAUGUUGGACAAUGGGUAAUUUCUUGCUUUUUAGUGUUAAUUAUUUUUUUGGGAACAAUUUGAGAAGAAAGGUUUGAGAUUAGGGUUUUUUUUUUUAAAGGAAAUUGUGAUAGAAAUUUAUAUAAUUUAGACUCUUGAAAGUUGCGAAAGGAUGAAAUAUAUAGAUAUUUAAUACUUUGACUUGUAAUUUUAACUGAAAUAAUCCCUUGAUAAAAUCGUAAAUGCGAUGUUACAAACUACAAUGACUCCAUUUAGAUGCUAAAAGUUGCUUAUCAAAUAGUCACAUGGGCUUAUGCAUGCACAUGUUUCUUGCAAAAUUGAGCCCUGAAAAAUAAUGGUGAGUUUGUUUUAUGAAACACUUUUAUGAUUGCUACUCCAAAUUAUCUAACAAUUUCUGCCAUUUUAAUAUGAUGUGACAGGGGUACAAAUG